ACAUCUCCACACAAGCUACACAGGGAAAAGAGGUGCCUAAAUGAGAGCUAGAGAUUCCACUUGGGGGUCAGGAGUGAGGUAGACUGCGUGUUCUCAUGUAUUGUGCUUGCCUGUAAGAGAAGGCUUUGUGGUUUGUUAAAUUUUGGAUGAGUUUUGGACCUUCCUGAAAGUAGUCAGGGAACAAAUGAGUGUACAGAGUCCUUCUGAAGGAGAAAAAGAUGGAAGUAUUCCAUGGAGAUGUAUUAAAGUAAAUCCAGAAGUGAACUGAUGACUUUACAACCCUCAAGCAAAGUAUUCCAGAUCGUUUGUCUUGUGCAACGGGAUCAUGCAUGAAAUAUGAAGAUGUGUACAUGACCUUCUUUUAAACUGCUGUGAUUUACUGCUGCCAGAACGAUGAGAGAACGAAGAUGAGUAUAUGAAGAAAUCAAUGUUAUGUGGGAUUGCAAAAUGAUGCUAGGUCUGAUGAAUCCUCCUUGAAAUCCUCUAGCCACAAGAAGUCUAUUGCUUUGCUCAGAUGUUUCAGGGUGGAUAUCUGAUUUGGAAAGGCUUUAGCUCUCUAAAUGAUUUUCAGGAAAGUGGUGUUUGCCGUUUUUUAGUAUGUGUUUAUCUUUUAUGCAAUCUUCUGAAUGGACAUAGUGUUUUUGUUGUUGUUGUUGUUUUAAUAUUUCUGAAAACAGGAAUGUUUUAAUUUCCCAAAGCAGCAUAAAAAUAGUAAAAUUUACAUUUUUCAGGUUAUUCAGCAACCUUUAUUUGCCUUGCAUGGCUAAAUGUUAUUUUGUUUAAAAACUACUCUACUUUAAUUAAUACUUUUCAUUCAUAUUUAUAAUUUGACAUGUUUCUCCUAUUUUCCUUAGCCUUCUCAACACCUUUGUUCUGCGGCUUCUGUCUUCAGAUGAUAGUUCUGAAGCAGGCAAAGAAAUAAUGGAGGGAACCAAAAAUUUUGGCUUUGUUUCUUCAGAAGAUGCCAUUAAUCUACUGAAGUAAAGAAAAAAAAACCAAACACAUAUAUUUUGAGCUGAAAAAAAGGUGGUGGGGGGGGGACAUAUAUAGCCUUAAAAUUAUAAUACAGUUGUGUUCAAGACAGGACCGUAACAUGACUUCUGGUUUUCAUUACCUGUCAAUGUUUCCUGCAGUGCAGGAAUAAAUGUAUCUGAUAUUUACAACUUUUUUUUUUUUUUCUCCUUUUCUCUAUGUGCUUUUGUGAACAACUAGUGCAACAAGUGGCAUGCCUGAAACCUCGAGAUGCCUCAAGCAGACAUUGUUUUCCAAACAUACUGAGUUCUCAGCAUCAGGUGGCUGGAGUGCAGUAGGUGUGCUGCUGGAGUGGAGCUUCCCAUUUAGUUCUGUCACCCAGUCUGUGAGCCUCAAGGCUGUUUGAAGUGCAAACCAAAGCAUGGAAAACAAUGAAGAUAUAGAUGUUUGUUUUCUUCUGCACCAUGCAUGCAACAAAGUAAUUUGGGAAGUCUGUUUGAUUUAGAUCAUCCAGAAAAUUUAUGCAGCAUUGUGGAAGCAUGGUGUCAGUGAAAACAGCUCUAUGAAUCAAUGUGCAGCAAGCUGAUGUUCCCUUUCAGGAACACCCACUGCAUGGGAACUUAUUGGAAGGCACACAGCUAUUCUCCCCCAUGCUUUGAAGGCUUGACUUGACCUGGUCUGCUGCACUUUUUCCUGCCCUUUACUGGGGUAAUGCUGGAUGAGACCUUGCAGCAGUAGAUCUCAUUGAGAUGAAUGUGUUCAUAUUACUGACCUUCAAAAGACCAGAACACAUCAGAUAAAUGCCAUGCUGUCAAUCUGUUUUUGAAAAAAAAUGUGGUCUUGGAUAAUUUGGAAAAUAAAAAAAGAAUCUGGGAAUAAAAUAUUGUCAGAUAAUCUCAUGAUCUGGGAUGGUACAGAACAACGUUAAGGUGUAUGCACAUUCGCUUCUCCUUCCUGAGACUGCUACAAAAAGUCACAUUCACAGGCAACACCACAGUUCUACGUAAAGUUCUGAAAAAGAAAUUCUACUAUGUAAGGGAAGAAGAUGGUGGCAGAACAAAAAAAUGAAAAAACACAAUGAGAUAACUGUUAAUUUUCUAAACUUAGUUGCUUUGUUUCUACUGAUUAUUGACCAUGUCAGAUUAUUGAUGCCAUUUCCACAUACUCCAGCUCUAAUUCUCAUUGCAGCUUUUGCUCUCUUCCAAAGGAAGAAACACUGUAAGGGCAAUGAGUGACUUUUUGACCAAUGUAGGGUUCUCAUUAGAAAGGGAAGCAUUCUCUAUCAUUUAGAAUGAAAUUUUAGUCUAGCAAAUGUCUUAAAAGUCAUCAUGGUGACUACUGUAUUGUAAAGUAUGGCAUUUGACCCACCAAGGGCUGUUUCUUGGUCAUGUGGCUAGGUUCACAGUAUGGAUGUUCACAUUACUGAUAAUGUCCUUCAGAUGCAUUAGAGAUUUGGUAUAGCUGGUCUAGACUUGCAGUAAGUGAUAGGUGCCAUAAAGUGGCUUCACUGUGGGAGAAAAGCAGUGGCCAAACUGCUGAAAUGAAGCGGCAAUGAAACUGUGGGAAAAAAUGAAAUGUAGAAAGGUGCUUUUGCUAGUGUUUCUAUUGAGAGGGUGGACAUCAGAUAAAAAUGAUAUGCUAUAUGUACAGUGCUAGAAAAAAUCAACAGCACUGGCUGUGGAAAAAAACGUGUUAUCAUCAAAAGAGAAAUUUAUCAAGUCAGUGAUAUCAACAUCAUUACUUCAUGGACUUGAAACUACAGCUUUAAAUGAAAUAGAUACACAGUAAAUUUAUGAGUUCUUCAAGAAGUGUCCGAUGUAAAGAAAAAACUUCUUAAGACAAAAAUGUCAGAGGGAGAACGAAGUAUGAAAUCAGAAUAUGUAACAACUACAGUGGUGGAAACUUGAGAGAUGAUAAAUUGUGAAAAGACAGGUAGAAGCCUCUUAAAGCAAGUGGUUGAGUGUGGUCUGACUUGACGAUGGCCAUUGUCUACAGGGAUACAGUCAGACUGAGCAAAAUGGAAGAACAAUACCGGGAUCUGAAAGAAAAAUGACUCUGAACUGUUCCUGGCACCUGCAAAUCUGCUUCAGAUCAAAAGAAAAACAGACCUGCUGGCACCCAGACUAGCAGGAAAGUAUUUUAUACAUUUAUUUUCUAGUUAGAGCUCAUCCUUAAUUACAUUUCUCAUUUCUGUGGUAUUUUCAGCUAGCAAAGCAGCCAUUUGUCUGUUGUGACUAUGACCCAGACACUGUAUCAGUCUUCAGCACUGGACUCCUCCAUCACCAGAGCCUGGAUGCAGAAACCUCUGAAAAAUUCAGCCACACAGCAACACAACAGGAACAAGAUAACAUGAAAUGCGCUGGGUUGCAGAUGCCAUGGUUUUGCCAGUAUAUUUGCAGCCACUAAAUAGGAACGAUGCCACUCCUGCUUCACAGCUCAGCAGCCAGGUGAUGGAGAAUCACCACAGUGGGCCAUGUCUCUUCAGCGUCUACUGCCUGGGCCUUUUUUUUUUAUAACUGAGUCUGGAUUUCUCCAUCACACCUCUUAAGCCUCUCUGAAUGAAUUCCACCUAGUAAGGCCAGGCUCUUAAAAUGGAUUUUUGAGUCAUGACAAUGCCCAGCAUUUGGAAGGAGAUGUAGGAACUGGAGGAGCUACCACCACCUAGAGAGAGUUUGGAAGUGUUCAUGAGGAGUGCACAGUGUGGAGAAGGAGAGUUGUAAAAGUGCCACUAAACAAGAGGAAUUCCUCAGGGGAGCACUGAACACCAGCACAGCAGGCUACUAACAUUUUCCCAAGGAAGGAACACAUACAAGGGAGAAGGAACAAUGAACUUGAGAGCAUCAAGCUACUUAAAAAUAAGGUUCACUGCCACCUCCCCCACCAUACUUUACUGUCCCUGAGAGAGUACACGUACAGUUCACUCUGGAAGCUACGCAGCUGAAGCAAUGGCAACAGAAGAAGCACAAUAUGCUUGGCUGUCAUUUUAGCAAUCUUCUCUGCAGCAGUCUUAAUGUGCAUGGAAGAGGGGCUAUCGCCUGAUGACUCCACAUGUAUGAAACUGUUCAAUUUGGAUAGCGAAAACCUAGAUGAAGUGUCAGAGCCCUCAGAAAGCUGAACAGAGGCACCCAGAGGACCGUGAAUACUGGCAGGACUCCUCAAGAUUGAUUUGUGCAGUGUUGGAAGAUGAUAGUAGGGACUUUAAAUCCAUACUUCAGGAGGCCGGAAAAUCAUCUAUCUGGAGUGAAGAGAUGGCAACAGGUCACCAAAUGGGUGCAGCCAGAAGCAUCACAGCAGAAGGUGGAAGCCUGACCUCCAAGCACAUCAGUUUUCACAGCAGUUUCUGACUUGUGACUCUGAGAAACAAUUCAAACAUCUUGUUUAUUCAAAUGAGAGGCUGUGAAAUGACCUGACAUCUUUCCUGGAUGCGGUUUCAGAAUAGUAUCCUUGGAAAUGACCCACUGGUUAAAAACAAAACAAUAAUAAAGCCCUGUGAAGAACAGCAGUCUGAGUUUCCAUGAAUGUCAUUGCCUUCAAAAGCCAUCAGAGCCGGCGCUGCGUCUGGGCAGCACUGCAGAGAAGACAGAGCAGUUGGAAGAGAGGACUGGCAGCAAUGAGGAUACACAAAGAUACCAUCAAAUGUUGUCCAGACUGCUGGUAAGUACAUCUGUCUGUGCACCAGACUUGAAACAAACAGCUUGCAGUGAGACUUCAGGCCUUUGCUAGGCUGGGAUGCUGCAGUUCACAACAACGAGGGGUAACACGGCGCAGCCACACCGCAAGAGCAAAACCAGUGGGAAGAAAAAGCCACAUAGUAAACAACCCACCCGAAAGCUCAGGAGCUCUAAAUUCAGACAGCUGCCUGUGCAUUUACCCUGUGUAGCUCUAGAGGUUGGGACUGCUGUUUGCACACAGAUAGCUGCACCCCAGCUGUGCUGCUGGGUUUCGUUUUCCUCACUGCCAGGCAGCAGCCAGGAGCUGAUGUCUGUAGACCUAGCGGACUUGAAGCUUGCUGCCGUGCCACUCUCAUCGGACCAAACAAGUAAUUCUUAAAAUGCCAGUGAGAGGUGACCUAGAGCCUUUGGCAUGUCCUCAGAGAAGAAUCAGCCAUGGGAACUCACACGACCUUUGUUAAACAGUUGCUGGAGAAGCUCACAGGGACAUCAUUCACAGACUGGUAGAGGGGCUUGCCAUACAGGAGCUCAGAUGUUCCUCUGGCGUUACAAACUAUGGGAGCUGGGCAGCCACUGAGAGGAGUGAAAAAGCAGACUUUGAGACUUGUGAACACCUGCCCAUCCCCAGCUUACCUACCCUCACCCUGUACAUCCGUACAGGGGACGGUGCCAGUGUACCGCGAGGAGUGGUAGUGCUGCUGUAAGUUCUGAAGGUACUUUCCAAGCUGCCUUCAUACUUCUGCACAUGGUCCUGUGAUUUUAUUAAACUCUUCUGAUGUUGCUCCUGACCUAAGCUAACUGCUUUUCUAUUGACAUCAACUUUUGCCACUCCACUGUUCACCCCCAGGUUAUUAAUGCAGCAUUAAAAAAUAUUGUUCUGAGUCCUGAUCUCUGGGGCACCUCAUUAUUAAUCUCUUUCCCUACUAGAAUUGGCCAUUUAUUCCAUACCCAUUUAUAACCAUUUUUUUUUACACCAUGACAGGACUUUACCUCUCACUUUGUGGUUACCAAGUUUCCUUAACAGUUUCUUGUAUGGGUGUUUAUCAAAAGGCUUUUGAAUGUCCAAAUAAAUUAUAUCCUCUGGUUGUCCUUUACCUACUAUUUUAUUAACUCUUAGAAGUGUAAAAGGUCUGGCUGGGAAGAUUUAUUCUUAAGGCAGCUAUGUUACUUCUUUCUUUUGCUUGAGACUUGAUAUUUCCCCACAGAUUGUAAAAUAUUUAGAACAGCAAGCAGCUCUCUGAAUCCUGUGGCUUGAAACAGCACCGAAUAUGUUGUCAAUGUUUAAUUAAAAAUAAAAGUGCAUGUCAUAUACGAGUGA